GACAGAGGGUGCAAACGUUGUUCGGAAUUACUGGGCGUAAAGCGCGUGUAGGCGGCCCUGCAAGUCGGAUGUGAAAUCCCACGGCUCAACCGUGGAAGUGCAUUCGAAACUGCAGGGCUAGAGUCCUGGAGAGGAAGGUGGAAUGCUUGGUGUAGAGGUGAAAUUCGUAGAUAUCAAGCGGAACACCGGUGGCGAAGGCGGCCUUCUGGACAGUGACUGACGCUGAGGCACGAAGGCCAGGGGAGCAAACGGG
rnacentral:rRNA from 1 species